rnacentral:sRNA from 1 species
GAGGAAACGCCAUGAAGACCCGUACCGUGAUCGCCCUGUCCGCCGCCCUGGCCGCGCUCGUCGCGCUGCCCGCGCUGGCCCAGCAGGCGCAGGCCGACAAGGUCCAGGCACAGGGGGCGGCCGCCGCGCCGUCGCCGGAAGCGCAACAGAAGGCCCAGGAAGACGCCAAGGCCAAGCGCCGCGCCCAGGCCGAGGCGCAGAAGAGCCAGGCCAUCAAGAGCGGCAAGCUCGCACGCCACGAGGAAGAGGAAGAAAAACCGGUGCGCUGAGCGAUACAAUCGGCGCUCAUCCAGGGACGCCCCGGCGCAGGCCGGGGCGUCCUGCUUUUUGCGG